AGCGUUACUCGGAAUUACUGGGCGUAAAGCGUGCGUAGGUGGUUUGUUAAGUCUGAUGUGAAAGCCCUGGGCUCAACCUGGGAAUUGCAUUGGAUACUGGCAGGCUAGAGUGCGGUAGAGGAUGGCGGAAUUCCCGGUGUAGCAGUGAAAUGCGUAGAGAUCGGGAGGAACAUCUGUGGCGAAGGCGGCCAUCUGGACCAGCACUGACACUGAGGCACGAAAGCGUGGGGAGCAAACAGG
rnacentral:rRNA from 1 species